rnacentral:rRNA from 1 species
AUUGAACGCUGGCGGCAUGCCUUACACAUGCAAGUCGAACGGCAGCACGGGAGCAAUCCUGGUGGCGAGUGGCGAACGGGUGAGUAAUAUAUCGGAACGUGCCCAGUCGUGGGGGAUAACGUAGCGAAAGCUACGCUAAUACCGCAUACGAUCUAUGGAUGAAAGCGGGGGGAUCGCAAGACCUCGCGCGAUUGGAGCGGCCGAUAUCAGAUUAGGUAGUUGGUGAGGUAAAGGCUCACCAAGCCGACGAUCUGUAGCUGGUCUGAGAGGACGACCAGCCACACUGGGACUGAGACACGGCCCAGACUCCUACGGGAGGCAGCAGUGGGGAAUUUUGGACAAUGGCGCAAGCCUGAUCCAGCAAUGCCGCGUGCAGGAUG